GAUGAACGCUGGCGGCGUGCCUAAUACAUGCAAGUCGAGCGAAUGGAUUGAGAGCUUGCUCUCAAGAAGUUAGCGGCGGACGGGUGAGUAACACGUGGGUAACCUGCCCAUAAGACUGGGAUAACUCCGGGAAACCGGGGCUAAUACCGGAUAACAUUUUGAACUGCAUGGUUCGAAAUUGAAAGGCGGCUUCGGCUGUCACUUAUGGAUGGACCCGCGUCGCAUUAGCUAGUUGGUGAGGUAACGGCUCACCAAGGCAACGAUGCGUAGCCGACGUGAGAGGGCGAUCGGCCACACUGGGACAGGACCACGGCCCAGACUCCUACGGGGGGCAGCAGUAGGGAAUCUUCCGAAAUGGACGAAAGUCGGACGGAGCAACGCCGCGUGAGUGAUGAAGGCUUUCGGGUCGUAAAACUCUGUUGUUAGGGAAGAACAAGUGCUAGUUGAAUAAGCUGGCACCUUGACGGUACCUAACCAGAAAGCCACGGCUAACUACGUGCCAGCAGCCGCCGUAA
rnacentral:rRNA from 1 species